GGAGAUGUCCAUGGGAUGGACCAUCCUGCCCUCCUGACAAAGGAUAGCGUUGACGAGGGCAAGAAAAUGGAGGAAAAAGAAGUUCAUUUCCUGAAAGAACACACUUACAGAACAUGCCACCACACAACCAACCACAAUUGGUAGAUUCAAGAGUGCGACGAGUAAACUCGUCCAAAACAUAUAAUUUCAAAAACAGCCACAGACGAGUUUAUAAGUCAAUUCUCGACAUUUCUG